rnacentral:misc_RNA from 1 species
GAAAUGCGAUAAGUAAUGUGAAUUGCAGAAUUCAGUGAAUCAUCGAAUCUUUGAACGCACAUUGCGCCCGUCAGCAUUCUGGCGGGCAUGCUUGUUCGAGCGUCAUUUCAACCCUCAGGACCCCCCUUUCGCGGGGAGGGACCUGGCGUUGGGGAUCGGCCCGCCCCCCGUGGCGGCGCCGUCCCCGAAAUCUAGUGGCGGUCUCGCUGCAGCCUCCCCUGCGUAGUAGUUACAACCUCGCAUCGGAGCGCGGCGCGGCCACGCCGUAAAACCCCCGACUUUCUGAACGUUGACCUCGGAUCAGGUAGGAAUACCCGCUGAACUUAAGC